CGGGACACGUGGUAUCCUGUCUGAAUAUGGGGGGACCAUCCUCCAAGGCUAAAUACUCCUGACUGACCGAUAGUGAACCAGUACCGUGAGGGAAAGGCGAAAAGAACCCCGGCGAGGGGAGUGAAAAAGAACCUGAAACCGUGUACGUACAAGCAGUGGGAGCACAGAGCAAUCUGUGUGACUGCGUACCUUUUGUAUAAUGGGUCAGCGACUUAUAUUCUGUAGCAAGGUUAACCGAAUAGGGGAGCCGAAGGGAAACCGAGUCUUAACUGGGCGUUAAGUUGCAGGGUAUAGACCCGAAACCCGGUGAUCUAGCCAUGGGCAGGUUGAAGGUUGGGUAACACUAACUGGAGGACCGAACCGACUAAUGUUGAAAAAUUAGCGGAUGACUUGUGGCUGGGGGUGAAAGGCCAAUCAAACCGGGAGAUAGCUGGUUCUCCCCGAAAGCUAUUUAGGUAGCGCCUCGUGAAUUCAUCUCCGGGGGUAGAGCACUGUUUCGGCAAGGGGGUCAUCCCGACUUACCAACCCGAUGCAAACUGCGAAUACCGGAGAAUGUUAUCACGGGAGACACACGGCGGGUGCUAACGUCCGUCGUGAAGAGGGAAACAACCCAGACCGCCAGCUAAGGUCCCAAAGUCAUGGUUAAGUGGGAAACGAUGUGGGAAGGCCCAGACAGCCAGGAUGUUGGCUUAGAAGCAGCCAUCAUUUAAAGAAAGCGUAAUAGCUCACUGGUCGAGUCGGCCUGCGCGGAAGAUGUAACGGGGCUAAACCAUGCACCGAAGCUGCGGCAGCGACGCUUAUGCGUUGUUGGGUAGGGGAGCGUUCUGUAAGCCUGCGAAGGUGUGCUGUGAGGCAUGCUGGAGGUAUCAGAAGUGCGAAUGCUGACAUAAGUAACGAUAAAGCGGGUGAAAAGCCCGCUCGCCGGAAGACCAAGGGUUCCUGUCCAACGUUAAUCGGGGCAGGGUGAGUCGACCCCUAAGGCGAGGCCGAAAGGCGUAGUCGAUGGGAAACAGGUUAAUAUUCCUGUACUUGGUGUUACUGCGAAGGGGGGACGGAGAAGGCUAUGUUGGCCGGGCGACGGUUGUCCCGGUUUAAGCGUGUAGGCUGGUUUUCCAGGCAAAUCCGGAAAAUCAAGGCUGAGGCGUGAUGACGAGGCACUACGGU
rnacentral:rRNA from 1 species